CCAGGCAUGGUGGCACGUGCCUGUAGUCCCAGCUACCCAGGAGGCUGAGGCAGGAGGAUGGCUUGAACCCGGGAGGCGGAGGUUGGAGUGAGCCGAGAUUGCACGACUGCACUCCAGCCUGGGCGACAGAGCGAGCCUCCAUCUCAAAAAAAAUAACAAUUAAAAGAAUGAAAAAAUAAAAUAAAAUAAAUAAAGGGGGAACUAAAGAUACAAGGGGAUAAGGAAAGAUGGAAGCUGCUGCUUUAUGGAGACAAGGUGGAGGGACAUCACCAUGAGAAGCUAUAGAGGAUAAGCAGUUGAAGCUUUGCACAAAAUGUAGAUGACAAAGAUGGGUAGCUCUGGAUGGUUAUUUUCUGCUUGUUUGUUUUGCACCUGCUUAAAAAAAAACACCUGAUUUUUUUUUUUCUGUAUUGCCACCUUCCUUCUUUCAUUAAGAAGCUGCUGUUAUGGCUCCAAAUAGGACCUUGUGCCAUGAAGUGCAAUCUGCACUAACACAUCUACAAAUGCAUGUCAAUCACACCUAAAGUAGAAAAAGAAAGCUCUUGUGGAAUUAUUCUAAAGUCUAAUGGAUUUUUCUUCCCCACUCUUAAGGGGCAUCUCAGCAACAAGUUGUUAUGGAACUGUGGCAACAUCUUAAUAUUCCCAUUCUCAAAAUAGUUCAGAAAAAGUGCAUGAAAAUUGGGGGAACUACUUAGUAAGCACUUCAGGAUAGAGAAUGUAGCUAAAAUGAGUAAAGUGGAGAAGGAGUCAACGGCAUUGUGCACAGCAUUGUAUUCAUAGCUUGCUCCCUUAAAUCGUGUUUGGGACUUGGCUGCUAUUUUGGUACAGCUGCUAUUACUCAGUGCAGAACAUUAACAUAUGGGGGAAAUUGUAUAUUACACAAUGCAGCUUCCACAUUAUGCUGACACCAUUCCUCUACUUGUCCAUUUACUUUAAGAGACACUUACUGAUGCAAAGGAGACUGAACAGUGAAGGAUCUCACUCAGAAUCCUGUCCACAAUCUGUCCAGUUUACACCUUACCCCAAAGAGGUAAUCUCUUUUGUUAAUUACCUGUGUAUCUUCCAAUUUUUUCAUGAUAAUAUAAUAAUGACUCUUCAUUCCCUCUUUUUUUGACACAGAGGUAGCCUGUUAUACAACGUUCUUCACCUCAUUCUCUCACUUCACAAUAUAUCUUGGAGAUCUUACCAAAAGCACACAGAGACCUCCUGCGUUGUGAUUAGAUUUUCAUUGCAUAAUAUUCCAUUGUUCGUGUGUGUGUGAGUGUUUAGUUAGUCUCAAAUUGAUAGGUGCAUGAAUUUUUCCAAUCUUUUGUUAAGGCAAGCAGUAUUGAAUAAACUUGUACAUAAUAUUUUUGCAUGUGUAUAAUUAUAUCUGUAGAAUGAGUUUCAAAAAAUGAAAUUGAAAGGUUUAAGGCUGUAUUCACAAACAAUUUUGAAAGGUAUUGAUUGCCUAAUUGUCCUCCAAAAGGUUUGUCCCAAACUGGACUCCUAUAACCAAUAAAUCAAAGUGCUUGUUUCUCCAUAGCCUUGUCAACAGAGGGUGUUGCCAAACUUUUAACUUUUUGCCAAUCUGACAGGAAAGACAUGAUAUCUCCUGUAGUUUUUCUUCUUCCUCUGGUAAAAGCAAGGUUAAGUGUUUUUUCAUGUGUUUAAUAACUAUUUUUGUUUCCUUUUCUGAGUUUCUUCACAGUUCCCGAGACAGAAAAAAGGAAAAAGGAUUUCAGCAGACAGAAUUUCAACAACAAUUGUCUGUUAAAAUUCUUUUUACUUUUUCUUUCAGAGAUUGCUAGUCUCUUUCUUCUCAAUUUUAAGGUGCAUUUUAAUUGCUAAAGAGGUCAUUUCUUUGGAUGUGAUAUGCAUGAAAAUAUUUCUAUAAGUUUUUCAUUUGUCUUUUGAUUUUUUAUGAUAUUUUCUGCUACUCGGAACUGCUUUUUAUUUUAUGUAGUUCAGUUUAUUAAUUUUCUGUCCUAUGGCUUUUACGAUUUGGAGUUACAGUUAG
rnacentral:lncRNA from 1 species